UGAACGCUACGCGGCAGGCCUAAUACAUAGCAAGUCGGACGGUGCAGUAGCAAUGCUGCAGAGUGGCAACGGGUGCGUAACGCGUAAACGAACCUAGCCCCCAACUGGCGCAUAGCCCGGCGGAAAGCUGGGGUAAGUUCGCCAUGGUCCUGCCCCUCACCUGGGGGGCGAAGUAAAGGCCGUUCGGGCCGGUUGGGAGGGGUUUGCGUCUGAUUAGGUAGUUGGGGGGUAGCGGCCCACCAAGCCGAUGAUCAGUCGGGGCUCUGAGAGGAGGGUCCCCCACAUGGGCACUGCGACACGGGCCCAACUCCUACGGGAGGCAGCAGUAGGGAAUAUUGGGCAAUGGCCGAGAGGCUGACCCAGCCAUGCCGCGUGCCGGACGAAGGCCCUCUGGGUUGUAAACGGCUUUUAUCCAGGAAGAAGAGUAGCGCUGCGGCGCUAUGUGACGGUACUGGAGGAAUCAGCACCGGCUAACUCCGUG
rnacentral:rRNA from 1 species